rnacentral:ribozyme from 1 species
CGUAUAAGAGGUACCGUGUAUCUCGGGGACCGCCUGUACAGGCUCUCCCAUCGAACUCCUAUUCCGACACGUCCUUGUCGUGCAGAGUAGUAACGUGUGCCUCCAUAUAUCCUAGCUUGGGUACACGGGAUAGAUCCACUUGGACAGAUGGUGGCAUAUGGCGAACCAAGAGGGG